rnacentral:rRNA from 1 species
CGAUUAAAGCACCUUCGGGUGUGUAUAAAGUGGCGAACGGCUGAGUAACACGUGGGCAACCUGCCCCUCUCAUUGGGAUAGCCACGGGAAACCGUGGAUAAUACCGAAUACUUCGAGUCUCUCGCAUGGAAGACUCGAGAAAGCUCCGGCGGAGAGGGAUGGGCCCGCGGCCUGUUAGCUUGUUGGUGGGGUAACGGCCUACCAAGGCAAUGAUGGGUAGCUGGGUUGAGAGACCGACCAGCCAGAUUGGGACUGAGACACGGCCCAGACUCCUACGGGAGGCAGCAGUGGGGAAUCUUGCACAAUGGGCGAAAGCCUGAUGCAGCGACGCCGCGUGCGGGAUGAAGGCCUUCGGGUUGUAAACCGCUUUCAGCAGGGACGAGGCGAAAGUGACGGUACCUGCAGAAGAAGCCCCGGCUAACUACGUGCCAGCAGCCGCGGUAAUACGUAGGGGGCAAGCGUUAUCCGGAUUCAUUGGGCGUAAAGCGCUCGUAGGCGGUCUGUUAGGUCGGGAGUUAAAUCCGGGGGCUCAACCCCCGUUCGCUCCCGAUACCGGCAGACUUGAGUUUGGUAGGGGAAGGUGGAAUUCCUAGUGUAGCGGUGGAAUGCGCAGAUAUUAGGAAGAACACCAGUGGCGAAGGCGGCCUUCUGGGCCAUAACUGACGCUGAGGAGCGAAAGCUAGGGGAGCAAACAGGAUUAGAUACCCUGGUAGUCCUAGCCGUAAACGAUGGACACUAGGUGUGGGGGAAUAUUUCUUCCGUGCCGCAGCUAACGCAUUAAGUGU